UACGAAGGGGGCUAGCGUUGCUCGGAAUCACUGGGCGUAAAGCGCACGUAGGCGGAUUGCUAAGUCAGGGGUGAAAUCCUGGAGCUCAACUCCAGAACUGCCUUUGAUACUGGCGAUCUUGAGUCCGGGAGAGGUGAGUGGAACUGCGAGUGUAGAGGUGAAAUUCGUAGAUAUUCGCAAGAACACCAGUGGCGAAGGCGGCUCACUGGCCCGGUACUGACGCUGAGGUGCGAAAGCGUGGGGAGCGAACGGG
rnacentral:rRNA from 1 species